CAUGAGAGGUCUAUUUCACGAAGCAGGUUCACUGAAAACUCUGAGUUUCUUAACCCUGAAAUGAGGGAAACUCAGAGUUUUCCGUUUCAAGAAGCGAGGUAACUUAACCCUGAGACAGAGGGGUAACUCCAGCCUGUUUCACAAAGAGGGGUAACUUAAACUCUGGGUCAGUUACCGCAGUAACAGACUCUAUGACUCUAACCUGGUCACCAGCAGGUUUAUCUGAGAAAACCUCCAGUUUCUCUCUGUCUCCGCCCUCUUUCAGCCACACGCUGUUUCAUUUCCUCAUUCAUUCAGUCAGUAAGCGAGCGAGUUUUGGCGUAGAACAGCUUUUAUUAACGAUCCAGUGGAUAAAGGAGCAGCAUUACUGCACAGAUCAUUAAAUAUUCGUCGGUAGAUUGUUAUCAGACCGAGCAUAAAUGUUCUCGCAUUUCCGGACAAUUAUCGGUUUGAGCGGCACCGUUUCGUAAUCGUUUCAAGUCCAUAAUCUACAUAAACAACCUAAUCCGUCCUUACAUUUACAUUACCAACCAGUCAUGCUCUCACAUCCAGCAGAUAUUGUGUGUUGCGCUGCGGUUCUUUGCAAAUGGAAGUUUUUAUAUGAUGUCAGAGAUGCAGAGUAAGACAACUGUAUGGAGGACAGUCAGAAAAGUUUUCCUGAUCCUGAAACAACUUUUACCAUCAUUGUGGUUUUCCUGGACAUAAACCUGUCAGAACAUCAGGAGGAUCCACAGGAUUGCAGGAUUUCCCAGUGUGAUUGGCUGCAUAGAUGCACACACAUCCCCAUCACAGCUCCCUCACAUCAUGAACAGGAAGUCCAUUCACAGCAUAAAUGUGCAGGUAGGCUACAGGUAGACUGACUACUGUUUCUAAAUGUUAAAGACUGCAUCAUAGUUCAACAUCUGUCAUUCUCUGCACUGUCCAGAUCAUAUGUGAUGCUGCAUACAUCAUUUCUAAUGUGGAGGCCACGUGGUCUGGGUCUGUUCAUGACUCCAGGAUUUAUGGAGAGUCUAACCUGAGCAACAGACUGCAGCGUGGUCAGCAGCAUAAAGAUUUUCACAAUAGAAUUCUCUUGUCUCCCUCCUUUAAUAUGCUCUGAUGUAUCCACUAUACAUUACAGGAGAGUUUGAUGGCCUUCUGCUGGGUGACAGGGGUUACCAUGACAACCCAGGCUGAUGACCUCAUACCCUGACCCUGAACCAGGCCCCCAACAGAACUUCAACCGGACUCACUGCAGGACCAGAGCCCGGGUGGAGAUGACCAUAGGCCUGCUGAAAGCCCGUUUCCAGAGCCUACGUCUCCUCAGGGUGACCCCUGAGAGGGCCUGUGAUAUUACUGUGGCAUGUGUUGUUCUUCAUAAUAUUACCACUAUUAGAGGAGAGCAACAGCCUGCCCUACAAACUGAAGACCCAGAUGAUGAGCCCAUCCACCUGCAGCUAUCCAGGACAGCAGAGCAGUCAGAGACACCGUAUGCAAUAAUCACUUUAGAGUUUAAGUCUCCAUCAUCACCACCACAGCAAAUAAAGACAUGAUACACAUUUCA